rnacentral:rRNA from 1 species
UCGGAUCGUAAAACUCUGUUAUUAGGGAAGAACAUAUGUGUAAGUAACUGUGCACAUCUUGACGGUACCUAAUCAGAAAGCCACGGCUAACUACGUGCCAGCAGCCGCGGUAAUACGUAGGUGGCAAGCGUUAUCCGGAAUUAUUGGGCGUAAAGCGCGCGUAGGCGGUUUUUUAAGUCUGAUGUGAAAGCCCACGGCUCAACCGUGGAGGGUCAUUGGAAACUGGAAAACUUGAGUGCAGAAGAGGAAAGUGGAAUUCCAUGUGUAGCGGUGAAAUGCGCAGAGAUAUGGAGGAACACCAGUGGCGAAGGCGACUUUCUGGUCUGUAACUGACGCUGAUGUGCGAAAGCGUGGGGAUCAAACAGGAUUAGAUACCCUGGUA